GAAAAGGCCAUAGCUAAAGCCUGAUCAGAGAUAAAUCUCCAAAUCCAGAAUCUUGUAUUUUCUUCUGAACAACUAGCAAGCCCUUCCGCAGAGUUAAAUAGAGUCUGCAACACAUCUCCACCAAAACUUUGACAUAGUUUAUCAAAUAUCUCCAAAACAUUGUAAACCACAUAGAGUUUGAUUGUUCCUUGACCACGGAUCAUGUGAUAUAUUAAGCUGAUAUCUG
rnacentral:misc_RNA from 1 species